rnacentral:rRNA from 1 species
GGAGGUCCGAACCCACGAGCGUUGAAAAGCUCGGGGAUGACUUGUGGGUAGCGGUGAAAUUCCAAUCGAGCCCGGAGAUAGCUGGUUCUCCCCGAAAUAGCUUUAGGGCUAGCCUCAAGGUGAGAGAUACGGAGGUAGAGCACUGAAUGUCCUAGGGGGUAUUGCACCUACCGAAGACUAUCAAACUCCGAAUGCCGUCAUCUUAUACUUGGGAGUCAGACUGUGGGUGAUAAGAUUCAUAGUCGAAAGGGCAACAGCCCAGAUCGUCAGCUAAGGUCCCUAAAUGUAAGUUAAGUGGUAAAGGAUGUGGGAUUGCACAGACAACCAGGAUGUUGGCUUAGAAGCAGCCACUCAUUCAAAGAGUGCGUAAUAGCUCACUGGUCGAGUGAUCCUGCGCCGAAGAUUUCCGGGGCUAAAACUUACUACCGAAGCUACGGCAUCAGUAAUGAUGGGUAGGGGAGCUUCCCAUACGGGUUGAAGCAUGACCGUAAGGACAUGUGGACAGUAUGGGAGUGAGAAUGUUGGAAUGAGUAGCGGGAUGUGGGUGAGAAUCCCACAGGCCGUAAACCCAAGGUUUCCAGGGGAAGGUUCGGCCGCCCUGGGUUAGUCGGGACCUAAGCUGAGGCCGAAAGGCGUAGGUGAUGGACAACAGGUUGAUAUUCCUGUACUACCGAUAACCGUUUGAGAGAUGGGAUGACACAGUAGGAUAAGCUAAGCACACUGUUGGUUAUGUGUGCCCAAGCAUUGAGGCAGUCAAAGUAGGCAAAUCCGCUUUGAUAAUGCUGGGAUGUGAUGGGGAGCGAAAUUUAGUAGCGAA